GAAGCCUGUAAUGAGCGGUGUACCACAGGGAUCAGUGUAGGGUCCACUGUUGUUCAUAAUUUACAUCAAUGAUCUGGAUGAUGCUGUGGUAA